CUGCGCUUGGACUGGUUUUCGUUAAGGUCGAAUUUCCGGCAGUAAAUUGAAGAAAAGGGCAUAAAAACAACUAUUUUAUGUCAAAUUUAUGAAAAAUGAGAAGCAAACAGACAGUGCCGAAGAGAACGAAGGCCAUGUUGAAGAAGAAGAAGAAAAAGCUGAAGAAGAAGCCACGGUCCGGCGCACGCCGCUACAACCUUGAUGACCUCAUCAAAGCAGCCAAAGAGGUUCAGGAUGGCAGCCUGACGACGCGGGAAGCCGUCGUUAAGUACGACCUCCCAUACAGCACGCUGCACGACCGCGUCACGGGGCGCACCGACAUGGACGUCACAACGCGCGGACCCAGGUUCGUGCUCGGCAAAGAAGGCGAGAAGAUGCUGGCCGAGUACUUUCACUUCCUGUUAACCCUCGGAAUCCGCACGUCCAGCUCGAGGAUGAAAGGAUUAGCCACGGAGCUGGCCAAGUUGUUGGGCGUGCUGAAUCCCAAGAGGAAUCUCUCUGUCAAGUGGUAUGGCACGUUCGUCAAACGGUGGCCCGAGUGCGUCACAGAGCCUGUCGCCGUGGAUACCAAGUCGGUUAAUACGUAUUUCACUCAGCUGAAGGAAAUGUUAGAAAGAUAUCAACUUGUUGACAAGCCGAGACGUCUGUUCAUUCUUGAUGAGACGGAGAUCUGCAUUCCGUACCGGCCAGGCAGCACCGCCCCGUUUCCAGACAAACUCAACGAGUCCGUCGGCAGAUCAGACGAUGGGAACAACUCCCAGGACGGGGCAGACAACUCUGUUUUUGACAAGAAGCGAACCGUGUCCAAGAAUGUCACGCUGUAUGGUUGCGGAAAUGCGACCGGGAAGGUGUUGAAACCGUUUUUUGCAUGUCUGUCAAAUUUACGCAAGACGGAGGAAGUUUUGGUCAACUGUCAAGGUCACCGUGGUCUGAUGCUCGGAAAGUGGAAAAAUGGGGAGGAGAUUUUCCAGUAUUACCUCGAAAACCACUUCAAGGGUCAGACGAUUGCCCCCGACGACACCCGCCCAGUUCUGCUGCUUUUUGACGCUCAUAAAGCGAAACCGUCUGAUGCUACGAUUCGGUGGGCAAGAGAGAACCAGAUAAUUCUGUUUCCAUUACCCCCCCAUGUGCAUCAGUUACCAGAUGUAGGCUGUAUGGAACACUUCAAAGACAGUUUCGAAGAAGAGUGUAUUUCCUUUCUCGAGGAUUUUAUUGUGGAUGAUUUGGUUAACAGAAACCAUGCUUGUAACAUUGCUGGUAGAAUCUACCCUGAGGUUGUCUCCCCUGAAAACCUGAUUGCCUGUUUUCGGAAGAUUGGAGUGUAUCCAUUCAACCCGAGGGUUGUCGAUCCUAACGCUUCUGUAUUAAGUGCCAGAUCGGGACAGAAGGAGAUUACAGAAUCUAGUCAGAAUGACCUGGAGUUGGAGGUCAAUGGUAGUGAAAGCGGAACUAGUCGUGGUGUGAAAAAAGUCAAGGUGAAAAAAAUGUCGAAAAAACCAGUGGCCCAAUCUUCCAAAGACAUUAUUGCAGACUUUCUGAAAAAGAAGAAUCCAUAUUUGUUAACGGACCAAGCAAUGCGUGAGAUAAAGAUGCAGAUACAAAUGGAGGAAGAGACUCCAGACAUGAUACUCAAGAAGGCAAUAAGGGACGUCAAAAAGUCUGGUCUGUCAAUGCGAGGUGCCGCAAAGAGGCACGGAAUACCAUACAAGAAACUCUUUGAGGAGAUGGCCAAGUCGAACUCGUCAAUCCGCGACAAGCAGGGUUACCGUAGCUACACGAUGAUGAACCUGCAGAAGGCGAUGAAGGUUGUGAAGGACAAGAAGAUGACUUGUCACACGGCCAGUAAGAAGUUCGGCGUCCCAUACAGCACGCUUCACGACCGCGUGGUAGAAAGGGUUAACCCUGACGUCUCAUCCCCCGGGCCACAGCCGCUCCUCGGACCUAAAGAGGAGGAGAAAGUGGCCGAUUUCCUCCAGUACAUUAGUCUCCUAGGUUACCGCUUUCAGCAGAAAGAGGUCCAGACAUUCGUAACAAUAUACUCUCACAAAAAGAAAAUCCUCGAUCCAUGUCGAUCGUUAUCGGAAGCGUGGUACAGGCAUUUCAUGAAGCGCCACAAACGCGCCUUCCCGGAUGUAGACGUGGCUCGGAAGCCCACGGCCGAGACGAAGUUUGUGAACCGGUAUUUCUAUGACCUGCACGAAGUGAUGAGCCGGUACAAGCUGCUGGAGAAACCAGAACUGGUGUUCAACGUUGACGAGGUUGAGAUCGACCUGCCGUACAAAGUCUCGUACAAGCUGGUCACCAUCAAGAACGCUCACCUGCGCCGCGUCACUAUCAUCGCCUGCGGCAACGCUCAGGGGGAGAGUCUGCCUCCGUACUUCAUCUACAGGGGCCAGCACAAGUUCAACCAGUGCCACCUGAAACACGCACCAGCGGGGAGUCAGGGCCGGUCGACUCUUUCCCGUCACACCAGCCCCGAGGUUCUGCAGAGGUACCUCUACGAACACUUGAUUCCAUCGGUGAACGAAGACGAAGAAUCGCCAGCCUUGGUUCUGUUUGACGCCUUCAAGAUGAAGGUUACGGAGCAGCAGAUCGCAUGGGCAAGAGACAACCGAGUUAUCCUGUUUCCAUUACCUCCGGGGCUUAGCGCCGAAUCCAAAUCCAGCGAGGUCGGAAUAUUACAGAAUUUCCGGCAGUCUUUUGAGAAGACGUUUAAAGCAUACACGAGCUGCCACCCCGGGAGUACUGUGAACAAGUACAACAUCUGUGGUCUGGCGGGGGGAGUCUACGAGGACGUGAUCGCCCCGAGCUGUCUGGCAUCACAUUUCAGACGGAUGGGAAUCGUCCCACUCAACCCAAAAUCGGUGGACUUGGAGGCGAGGUAUCCCAACAAAUCUCGACGCGGUCCACCAGUCAAGAACGAAUCAGAGGAAAUGGACGAGGCUGACCAGUUUCUGAACAGUCAGAACCCGUUUCUACUCCUGAAGCAGGACCUUGGUAAAAGACUGUUACCCAAGCCUAGCAAGAGAAAAGCGGAAUCACAGGUGAAGCUGAAGAUUAAAAAAUCUAGAAUUGACGCUCCACGUUCACAUGAUUUUCACGACUCUGAUGAUGAUGAUGACGACGACGAUGGUGAUAGUGAUGAUGAUGAUGAUGGUGACGAGGUAGCAGCAGAGCGUGUGGAAGAGGAUGGGGCAUUUGCCGACGUCCCGAUCGCCGGUUUGUCGUAUCCCCCGGUGUUGCACACCGUUGGAGAUUGGUCAGGGUAUGCAACAGUGUCAGCCGCGGUGGAGGAGGAGAGACGAGUGGGGAGGGUGACGGCCGCGGAGAUGUCUGGAGUGACGUCGCGGACCUCGGCGUGGUACCGUAAGACCAGCAAGGUGACAAGUCUGCAGGAUUUCCAGCAACCGUCGGCAACAGAGCAAGCAGUGCAGACCAUUACACAAGAGAAUGUGUCCGUAUCAAGUGUACCAACCACAACGACAACCUUGCUAACCAAUAUCAAGACGGAAGUUUUUGAUAUUCCAGACAUUGCUUCAGAAGUGAUCCGAGGCCAGUCGACACUGGGUCCGAUCUCGCUGGACAACAUCAAGACAGAGGAGGUACAGGAGAGUGAAGGGAACCUCCAGAUUCAGCUCGCACCAGGCGGUGAAGGUCAGAUGAUGACUCUGGACAUGGCGACCAACAUCGCUCAGUCUGUGGCGGCGAACUCCGAGAGUCAGGGCAAAUCUACACAGAUCAUCUACCUCCACGGGGAGGCUGAUCUCACCGACGAGGCUGUCCAGCAGAGCCUUGUUCAGCAGGCAGUUGGAGACAAUCCCGCUGAGAAUCAGGAAGUUAUCAUUGUGUACAUUCCAGAAUUCAUGAACGAAGUGACAGUCUGAUGUGCCGAGUAUUUGCACGUUUUCAACUUUCGAGUCUUUGCAAAUUCAUGAAGUGAUUGUUUCAACUGUUACAAAUUGUCUGUUUAAACUUUGAGUAUUUGCUCAUUUGUGAACAACUGUUUCAGUUUUAAGUAUUUGCAAAGUCAUGAACAACUGGUUCAUCAAACUCUGGAAUGAACUGACUGUUGAAUCAUUGAGUAUUUGUAAAAUCAUGAACAACUGUUUCAACUUUGUUUUUAUGAACAGAUGGACUGGAAUGUGGAGGAUAGUCUCAAAUUUACAAAUGAAGUUAUCUGAAUUCAUGAACAGAGUGAAGUGUUGAUGAUUCUUCUGCGUGGAGGAUUUUUCAAGAGUUUGUGAACUAUGUUUGAUGUGGAGGAUUUUUCAAGAGUUUGUGAACUAUGUUUGAUGUGGAGGAUUUUUCAAGAGUUUGUGAACUAUGUUUGAUGUGGAGGAUUUCUUCUGUGUGUAAACUAAGUGGUGGUGUGAACAUACCCAGUGGGUGGAGGAUUUUCCCACAAUUCAUGAACCCUGUGCAAUGUAAAACAUUUCCUGAAUUCAUAAAUGAAGUGACUGAGGACUGAGUAUCCUGUCAAGUAACUUAGUAGGGUUAACUUGAAUGUUGUUCCUGAAUUCAUGAAGAGACAUGCAAAUUAUAUUGUUCCUCAAUUCAUGAGAAGACAUGCAAAUUGUACUGUUCCUCGAUUCAUGAAAAAACAUGCAAAUUGUAUUGUUCCUGGGUUCAUGAAGAAACAUACAAAUUGUAUGCUUCCUGCAUUCAUGAACACAGUGAUUUGCAAAUUGUUCUGUUGUAUAAUUUAUAAACAAAGUGACUAGCAAAUUGGUCUGUUCCAAAAUUACAGUUCUGAUCAAAAUUCAUAAACUGAAUGACUUUUACAUUGUUUUGUUCCAAAAUUCACAGAAUAAAUUGUGAAUUGACAUGUAGCACUUGUUGAAGAUUGCGUUGUGGAAUGGAACUGAUUGAAUUUUUUCUCGUUCCAACCAGUGUAUCAAAACUGGUCAAAGGCCGUAGUAUGUGUUUUCCUGUCUGUAGAAAAGUGAAUGUAAAAGAUCCCUUGCUGCAUUAGUAAUAAUGUAGCAGGUUUACUCUGAUGACUAUGAGUCAGAAUAGAGUAAAUUGUGAAUUGACAUGUAGCAUUUGUUAAAGUAUUAUACGUUAUGUCAUGUUGUUAAGUGCAAUGUGGGCCAUUUGAUAAAAGAAUCUCCUUUCGUUCCAUCCAGAGCAGGGUUUAUUGCAAAACAUUUAAAAACUGAAAUACUGAUCGAAACUUGUGUAAUUUAGUAAUUAUUCUUAGGCCCAAUGCUGUCAGGGAUUUAGAUUGCACUAAAGCUAAGGCAAUAAAGGGUGUGUCCAAAAUAAGCAAGUUGAGUACAAACAUGCUAACCUCAAAACAUUUCACCUCAGAAUCAAUGGAAUGUUAAGCUGUAAUUAGAUUAAAAUAACUUGUAAUGCAUUUAUGAAUAUAAUAUGUACAACUCUUUACCAGCU
rnacentral:misc_RNA from 1 species